GUGCUGUGAGUGACACUUCCAGUGGGUGCUGCAGUGGGUGGGAUCCCUGUGAGCCUGCUUACUCCUGGCAGGAUGGUUUAUCUGGAGUUGGUCUGAUGCCAAGAUGAGCCAAGACAUCUUUCCUUCCCUCCAGCCAGAGUGGGUGCUUUGACAGGAUGUGCUGGAUUGAUCUCAGACUGCAGGUGACAUUUCUGGGUCUGCCUUGCCUUUGGCCACCCAGUUGAGAAAUGUUCUCACUACAUCAACAAGGAAAACUGUGAGAAGUCAAGUGUGUUGGAGUCAGACUCAUCUCACCAUCUUCAGGUGUCCAACUUCAGCACCAUCAGCUUGACACUGAGACUCUGAGGAAUUCAGGGUGGAAUGAGCCAUCGUGGUUCCUGUGGAAACAUGAGGGACCAACAGAAUAUCCCCUGUGACACAGAAGGCUCCUGCCCUGAGGAUGGCUCCCUGCAGACAGAUGGCAAGCAGAAAAUAUGCCAGAAAUGCUCUUCCUCAGAAGGUUCCCUCUCAGGCAUGGCUGGCUGGUGUGGGCACCAGGUACAGAGGAGUUCUUGGAGGCUAAGGCAGCAAGGAAAACCUGCAAGGGAAAAACAUGAACCCAAACAAGGGAAGAAGACCCAAGCAGUUAGUAUUCUCCAGUGAGGGUUUUAUUUCAGCCCAUUGCUCUCCCUCCUUGCUUAGCACUGUGGAUAUACACCUCCUGGGAGAGCAGCUCUGCCCAGGGAGAUGUGACAUCCACCCAGGCAGGGAAGGGGUGGGAGACAGCACGUACCCAGCUGGGUUUUAGAGACUCAGAGCAGAUUUCAGCAGCUGAUGUCAUGGCUGGGGUGAACCCAGCUGGGUUUUAGAGACUCAGAGCAGAUUUCAGCAGCUGAUGUCAUGGCUGAGGUGAGGCUGGUGGGAUGUUGGUGGCAGAGGCAGUAAUUAAACCCCUGGCAUUCUGGCCAGAGGCACAGCCAUGUCCUGCUUCAUCUGAAGAGAGCUGGUCUGACACAGCAGAAGCCUUUACAUAACCAGGCCAGAUUUUCACUUUUGGAGCAACAGUUUCAGAAGAACUACAGAAACUGCAGGCAGGAUUUGUCGCUACUUAUGAGCAGGGGGUGAGCACACUUCUGUCGCCUCCUGUCUCGCACCUCGCUGGGUGACAAGUAUGUCAGGCAGUGAGAGCUGGUCUUGCAGCCUUCUGCCUGCAUUCCCAUUUCCUCUUUCUGUGCUUUCUGUUGGGAUAGCAGAGGUUUGCACUGCCAUGUGAGACGUUUUCUUAUUGCUCUCUGCAACCGCAGUCGCAUUUCAGAAGUGUUUUGGCACGUUGCCCUGCUGGCAGCCCACGAUCCCAGUAGCAGCUUCUCAGGCUGAAAUGGUUUUGUUGCCAUGCAUUUAGCCCAUCUCUGUUAUUGCACAGGCUUUUCCUUUCUCCCUCAUCUGCUCUGGCUGUAUCUCACACAGGAGAUGUGAACCUUUUUCAGGGAAUCUUUUUCAGCAAUUGGAGUGAACCUGAAUAAAUACUUGUUAGGUAAAAAAGCUUAAUUGUAAAGACAUAGUGUGUUUCUUGGCUUCUUGUUCUGGCUGACACCAUCUCUUGCAGAGUAUUGCAACAGCAGUAGUGCAGCAAUACACUUACAAUGGCAUGGUGCAUGUGAGCACCAGUGGGAAAGAAUCAUACUGACGUGCCUUCCAACUCCUGAUAUUGUCAUUGCCUAUCCUAUGAGCGUGCUUUCCUUGUAGACACACUCACCCAGUGGUUUCCUGGAAAAUACAGGCUUAAAACUGAUAGGCAUUUUUUAACAACACCUAAAACUGUGAGAUAAUUAAAGUCAAAUGCUUUAAUUCAUUGGUUCCCUUUCCAAAUAAAACCAUUCAGCCAGAGUAAGAACAAUAGAUGACUCCCCGUGAGUUCAUCAGCUGUAAAUCCAGUGUGUAAAGUAAAACAAACACAUCAUAAAAUUUCUACCCUGUUUUUUUUCCCCUCUUUUGGAAAACUUAUUAUUUCAAGACUUUAAAAUCAUGGGCUCUGCGUGGGGAACAAGGAUGAUAUGCAGGCAGAGGGCACUGAGGUCUUGGUUUGAGGCAGGGGUGAGAAGUGUUGGCAUCCUUGGUGAGGAAUGGAGUGAGCCAGAGAGCAGUGGGCUGGGGGGACAUGCAUGCUUUGGGGAUCCCUGCCCAAGUUCAAAGCACUUGUGCAGACACUUGCCUGUAAUUAUGAAUUUAAACACAGACCCGAAGAUCUUAAAUACAUGCACAAACCUAAAACUCUAAACUUUGCACCUCAGCCUGUGCCUGUGUGCUUUUCUGAGUCAAAGCUGCAGAGUGAAGUGGGUUUGGGGAGAGCAUUGCUGGGAUACAGGCACACAAUGACUGGGACUGGCAGGGCAGAGCUGGAGUCCUUUUUGGAACUCAGCUACCACUGUCAGAGUCUGUAGAAGCCACAGUCUCCAAUUAACAUCUUUAAUCUUAUUAUCUCAAGCCUUUUAUCUUCACAUUUUCUUGUCUGUUUGUUUGUUUUCUUUAAAUUUGUUUACAUAUACCGAACCAAAAGUUUUUCUGGAAAUGCUGGUAUGGCUUUUAACUGCAAGAGUGAUUCACAGAGAAUAAUUAGUUCAAAGAUCUUGGCAUCUCUUUUCCUUGUAAAAAAAGGUGGUGGAUAUUCUGUGAUUUUCUUGAAAGAUUUUUUCCCUCUAAAUGUGCAUGUUUACACUCACACCCACACAGACUCACACACAUUUGCAAAUGCAGACACUUCCCUCUUCUUCUGGAGCUUUCAAGUUCUGGAGCAGCACAUCUGACCUGUACAAUUAACCCUUUCUGCCAUGUAUCUCCUUUAUUUAUGUCUAAAAGCAAGACAGAGCUUUUGGGGUUGGUGGGGCUCAUCCUAUAGGUUUUUGUCCACACCUUAAACUUCCUGAGCUUCCUGCACUGAGCAGGCACCUGCAAACAGCAAGGAAGAUCUGUGCCCCAUGCUGACUCCUGCAGGAGUGGCAAUUUCAGGCUCCAUCUGGGGGGUUGCUGCUUGGCCUGGGUCAAACCAGGCAUUUUUCUAAGGAAUUAAACAGCACUGAUUGUCUCCCAGUGCCCAGGAUUGUUCCCCAGUGUUGUUUAAUUUAUUAAUUAUUGCAGUUGAUAUAAAGGUUUUAGCUUACUCUUGUUUUACUAUCUAUUAGCAGCAAAAGGAGUGAGUUCUACCUCAGACUUUGUAAGCCCUCAGGAGUAUUCUUAGGCAAUAAAUUAAUCCUGGACCUUGCAAGUCUGGAAAACAAGCUCAUACAGAACAUAAGGGGUGGGAUUUCCCCAUUGGCACCAUAAAUGAAGUCUCCCAUGAAACCUGGAGUGGCUCCUCACUGUAAACAUCAGCCAUACUUGAGGUAUUUGCUUAUUAGAGCUCACAAUUUAAUUUGAAAUUUAGGCACCUAAAGAAAAAAAACCAAGUUGCUAAACACCUUUGAAGAGUAAGAUCUUAUUUCUUCCCUUGUUCUGAAAAAAGGUCACUUAGGUAAUGCCAGAAUUCCUGUAGCUUAGUAAUUUCCAAUAUUAUUUCAGAAGUUAAAAGCUGUGAUGCUGCUUUUUAAUCAUCAUCACAGCAUGACAAAAAUCCUACUUACUUUGCAGUGAUGGUUAUAUCAUUGCAAAACUGACAGCUCCCCUGGGACCUGUGCAAGGUAACAAGAAGGCUGGAGGUGAGCUGGGUUCAGCCAAAUAAACACAAGGAGCCCACAGCAGAGUAUGGAGUCACUCUGUAAUUAUACUCCAGUUUUUUCUGCCUUGUCUAUGAAGCAGAGUCACUGGAAUAGGAGAGCUUCUAAAAAUCAGGGAGGACCAAGAUUAUUAUAACUAACUAUAAAAACUCUUGGCUCUUUGAGGCCAUUUAUUCAAAUGCCUCUAAGCCCUUGCUAUUCACAAAGAGAGAUAAAUGUAAUUAUCACAGUUCUAAAGUGUGGAAAGAUGAGGCUUAAUUAACUACUCAUGGAUAUACAGCAAAUGAGUAGCAGAGAUGAGAACAGAAACCAGUUUUCCUGACUUCCUCUGGCACCUGGAUCCCAGUGCCACCUCUGUCAGGUACACACUACAGUGAGAUAAGCAUGACAAAAGUACCACUGGGUCAAAGCCCAGACCACAGACAGUCCUAAGCCCAGCUGAAUGUCUCUGGGCUGGCACUUGGUGAACACAGCCUGGAAUGAGGGACCUGCACGUUGUAUGGCUGAGACCAGCUGGAUUGUCACAGCCUUGUCCUCCCAACAAUCCUAAAGUUUACUUGUGGGAAGGAGUUA
rnacentral:lncRNA from 1 species